rnacentral:rRNA from 1 species
UACGAAGGGGGGCUAGCGUUGCUCGGAAUCACUGGGCGUAAAGCGCACGUAGGCGGACUCUUAAGUCGGUGGUGAAAUCCUGGAGCUCAACUCCAGAACUGCCUUCGAUACUGGGAGUCUCGAGUCCGGGAGAGGUGAGUGGAACUGCGAGUGUAGAGGUGAAAUUCGUAGAUAUUCGCAAGAACACCAGUGGCGAAGGCGGCUCACUGGCCCGGUACUGACGCUGAGGUGCGAAAGCGUGGGGAGCAAACAGG